rnacentral:rRNA from 1 species
AACGAACGCUGGCGGCGUGCCUAACACAUGCAAGCCGAACGGGAAAACCCGCAAGGGUGAGUACAGUGGCGCACGGGCGCGUAACACGUGGGUAAUCUGCCCAGAAGCCCGGAAUAACUCCCCGAAAGGGGUGCUAAUGCCGGAUGAGACCACGGGGACUUCGGUUCCUGGGGGAAAAGGUGGCCUCUGUAUACAAGCUAUCACUUCUGGAUCAGCCCGCGGCCCAUCAGCUAGUUGGCGGGGUAAUGGCCCACCAAGGCUACGACGGAUAGCUGGUCUGAGAGGACGAUCAGCCACACUGGAACUGAGACACGGUCCAGACUCCUACGGGAGGCAGCAGUGGGGAAUCUUGCGCAAUGGGCGAAAGCCUGACGCAGCAACGCCGCGUGUGUGAUGAAGGUCUUCGGAUCGUAAAGCACUGUCGGGAGGGACGAAUAAGGGCCGGGUGAACAAUCCGGUUCGACGACGGUACCUCCAGAGGAAGCACCGGCUAACUCUGUGCCAGCAGCCGCCGUAAGAC